rnacentral:rRNA from 1 species
CCAAUAGCGUAUAUUAAAGUUGUUGCAGUUAAAAAGCUCGUAGUUGAAUUUCGGGAUCAAUAUGUUGGUCGUGCCUUGGUACGUACUAGUUUAUUGGUUUCUUCCUUCUGACGAACCAUGAUGUCAUUAAUUUGGUGUCUUGGGAAAUCAGGACUGUUACUUUGAAAAAAUUAGAGUGUUUAAAGCAGGCUCACGCUUGAAUACAUUAGCAUGGAAUAAUGAAAUAGGACGUUUGAUCCUAUUUUGUUGGUUUCUAGGAUCGACGUAAUGAUUAAUAGGGAGAGUUGGGGGAAUUAGUAUUCAAUUGUCAGAGGUGAAAUUCUUGGAUUUAUUGAAGACUAACUACUGCGAAAGCAUUUGCCAAGGAUGUUUUCAUUAAUCAAGAACGAAAGUUAGGGGAUCGAAGACGAUCAGAUACCGUCGUAGUCUUAACCAUAAACUAUGCCGACUAGGGAUCGGAUGAUGUUAAUUUUUUAAUGACUCAUUCGGCGCCUUACG